AAAAAACACACAAACAAAACUUCCCUAACUCGCCGAUCAACCAAAAUCUCUGUUUCUCUUUCCACCCCAAAACCAGUUUUCGCCUUCACUUUGAUGCCAAGUUUCAACCUUUCUGGCGCCCCUUUAAUGUUUUGAUCCAAAGUUUGAUGCUUUUGCUCAAAAAAGUGUGUUUCCUGUUAUGGUGGGUCUGUGGUGGAGAGGAGCUCUUCUCAGCAGACCGAGUGUAUGAAGAAAGCCCUCAGUGAUUUGAUGAGCUUUUGAUUCCCAGCUUAAAAAUGGGAACAGCAGUGAAUAUCAUUGUAGGCUCUCAUGUUUGGGUCGAAGACCCAGAAUUGGCUUGGACGGAUGGACAAGUCACAAAAAUUAAUGGACAGGAAGUUGAGAUCCAGGGUAGCAAUGGGAAGAAGAUGGUUGCCAACUUAUCAAAAAUAUAUCCAAAAGACAUGGAAGCUCCUGCUGGCGGAGUUGAUGACAUGACAAAGCUAUCUUAUCUGCAUGAGCCUGGAGUUUUGGAGAAUUUGAAAACUAGAUACGAACUUAAUGAAAUCUAUACGUAUACUGGAAAUAUCCUUAUUGCCAUUAAUCCAUUCCAAAGACUGCCCCAUAUCUAUGAUAGUCACAUGAUGCAACAAUACAAGGGAGCACCAUUUGGAGAGCUAAGUCCUCAUGUUUUUGCAGUUGCUGACGUUGCAUACAGGGCAAUGAUUAAUGAGGGAAAAAGCAAUUCAAUUCUGGUCAGUGGUGAAAGUGGAGCAGGUAAAACUGAGACCACAAAAAUGCUCAUGCGGUACCUUGCAUUUCUGGGUGGCCGGGCUGCAACCGAAGGGCGGACAGUUGAACAGCAAGUUCUCGAAUCAAAUCCAGUUCUUGAAGCAUUUGGCAAUGCUAAAACUGUUAGAAAUAACAAUUCUAGUCGGUUUGGUAAGUUUGUUGAAAUCCAGUUUGAUAAGCAAGGAAGAAUCUCUGGAGCAGCCAUCAGAACUUACCUUCUGGAACGGUCUCGUGUUUGCCAAGUUUCUGAUCCUGAGCGCAACUACCACUGCUUCUACCUUCUUUGUGCUGCACCACAAGAGGAAAUUGAGAAAUACAAAUUGGGAAAUCCUAAAUCAUUUCACUAUCUUAACCAGUCACGUUGCUAUGAGCUAGUCGGGGUAAGUGAUGCCCAUGACUAUCUUGCCACAAGGAGAGCUAUGGAUAUUGUUGGAAUAAGUGCAAAGGAGCAGGAAGCAAUUUUUAGAGUAGUUGCCGCAAUUCUUCAUCUUGGAAAUGUUGUAUUUGCUAAGGGAAAGGAAGUUGAUUCAUCCAUUCCAAAAGAUGAUCAAGCCAAAUUCCAUCUCAAGAUGGUCGCAGAGCUUCUCAUGUGUGAUGCUGCUGCAUUAGAAGAUGCAUUGUGUAAGCGUGUCAUGAUAACGCCUGAAGAAGUUAUCAAGAGAAGUCUUGAUCCUCAAAGUGCAGCAAUUAGCCGUGAUGGUUUAGCAAAGACAAUAUAUUCUCGACUGUUUGACUGGUUGGUGGACAAAAUUAAUGUUUCAAUUGGACAGGAUGCUAACUCAAAAUCUUUGAUUGGGGUUCUUGACAUCUACGGUUUUGAAAGUUUUAAGCACAACAGUUUCGAGCAGUUCUGUAUCAACUUCACAAAUGAGAAAUUGCAGCAACAUUUCAAUCAGCACGUUUUCAAAAUGGAACAAGAAGAGUACACAAAAGAGGAGAUUGAUUGGAGCUACAUUGAAUUUGUCGAUAAUCAAGAUGUCUUGGAUCUUAUUGAAAAGAAACCUGGAGGAAUAGUUGCUCUCCUCGAUGAAGCUUGCAUGUUUCCAAAGUCAACCCAUGAAACAUUUGCAAAUAAGCUAUAUCAGACAUUUAAAGCUCAUAAGCGCUUCAUAAAGCCAAAACUUUCUCGAACAGAUUUUACCAUCGCCCAUUAUGCUGGAGAGGUGCUCUAUCAGUCUGACCAAUUUUUGGACAAAAACAAGGACUAUGUGGUUCCUGAACAUCAAGACUUGUUGGGUGUUUCCAAAUGUACUUUUGUGGCAGGUCUUUUCCCUCCACUUCGAGAAGAGACAGCUAAAUCUACCAAGUUUUCUUCAAUUGGCUCUCGUUUUAAGCUACAACUACAAAGCCUAAUGGAAACUUUAAACUCUACGGAGCCUCACUAUAUCAGAUGUGUAAAACCAAACAACCUUCUAAAACCGGCUGUAUUUGAGAACGUAAACAUUAUGCAGCAACUGCGCUGUGGUGGUGUUUUAGAAGCAAUUCGAAUUAGCUGUGCUGGUUACCCUACUCGAAAACCUUUCUUUGAAUUCACCAACCGAUUUGGACUUCUUGCCCCAGAGGUCUUGGAUGCAAACGUUGAUGAAAAAGUUGCGUGCAAAAAAAUUCUGGAAAAGAAGGGUCUUCAAGGGUUUCAGAUAGGUAAAACAAAGGUAUUCUUAAGAGCUGGUCAGAUGGCUGAGUUAGAUGCACGAAGAACCGAAGUACUUAGUGGUGCAGCAAAAACUAUCCAGCGACGUGUACGAACUCAUUAUGCGCGGAAACGGUUUAUUGCAUUGCGUGAGGCAACCAUAGUUAUGCAAUCAAUAUGUAGAGGAAGACUCUCUUGCAAACGCUUCGAUGGCAUGAAAAGAGAGGCAGCUGCUAAGAAGAUUCAGAAGCACAUACGUAGAUAUCGCGCCAGAACAAAUUAUAAAAAACUCCAUCUCUCAGGGCUUGUCUUGCAAACAGGUUUAAGAGCAAUGGCUGCUCGUAAUCAAUUCAGAUUUAGGAAGCAAGCUAAAGCAGCAACCAUUCUUCAGGCUGUGUGGAGAUGCCAUAAAGCUGCCUCAUACUUUAAGAGGCUCAAGAGGGGUUCAGUGGUCGCACAGUGCCGAAUGAGGUCAAAAAUUGCAAGGAAGGAACUUAGGAAGCUCAAAAUGGAAGCAAGGGAAACAGGUGCUCUUAAAGAAGCAAAAGACAAGUUAACAAAACAAGUGGAGGAACUAACUUGGCGUCUACAGUUGGAAAAACGUUUAAGGACUGACCUAGAAGAAGCAAAAGCACAAGAGAUAACUAAAUUGCAGAACUCAUUGCAAGAAAUGCAGAAUAAAGUUGAAGAAGCAAAUGCAAAAAUUGUCAAGGAACGGGAGGAGGCUGCAAAGAAAGCUAUUGAAGAGGCAACUCCUGUUGUACAAGAAACCCAAGUUGUCGUUGAGGACACCAAAAAAAUUGAUUCUCUAACAGCAGAAGUGGAGAGUUUAAAGGCUUCGUUGGAUUCAGAGAAACAAAGAGCUGAUGAUUGUGAAAGAAAAUACAAUGAAGCUCAAACAUCUGGUGAAGAACGACGUAAGAAAUUAGAAGAAACUGAGAAAAAAGUUAGUCAGCUCCAGGAAAAUAUGACCAGGCUAGAGGAGAAGCUUACCAAUUUAGAAUCAGAAAAUCAAGUAUUGCGCCAACAAGCCGUGUCCAUGGCACCAAAUAAGUUCCUUUCUGGACGGUCCAGAUCAAUUAUUCAGAGGGCAGCUGAAAGUGGUAUUCCGACUGAUGCAAAGGCAGCUAUGGAUCUGCAUAGUGCUUCGAUAAACCACAGGGAGUCUGAAUUGGAGGAUAAGCCACAGAAGUCACUAAAUGAAAAACAGCAGGAGAAUCAAGAGCUGCUGAUUCGAUGCAUUGCACAACACCUAGGCUUUGCAGGGAACAGGCCUAUUGCUGCCUGCAUCAUAUAUAAAUGCCUUUUGCAGUGGAGAUCAUUUGAAGUUGAGCGGACAAGCAUUUUUGAUAGGAUUAUUCAGACCAUAGGCAAUGCCAUUGAGACCCAGGAUAACAAUGAUAUCUUGGCCUAUUGGUUAUCCAAUGCCUCAACACUUCUAUUACUACUCCAGCGUACACUGAAAGCAAGUGGUGCUGCAGGAAUGGCACCGCAACGACGUCGAUCAUCAUCAGCUACUUUAUUUGGAAGGAUGACACAAAGUUUCCGUGGAAGCCCACAAGGUGUCAAUCUUUCCUUAAUCAACGGUGGAUCGAGUGGUGGAGUGGACACUUUACGGCAAGUUGAAGCCAAGUACCCAGCUUUGCUUUUUAAACAGCAACUCACAGCAUAUGUAGAAAAGAUUUAUGGGAUGAUUCGAGAUAAUUUGAAGAAAGAAAUUUCACCGUUGCUUGGAUUGUGCAUCCAGGCACCAAGAACAUCAAGGGCGAGCUUGGUUAAAGGAGCCCGAUCAGUUGCAAAUACCGAGGCCCAGAGAGCUUUGAUUGCUCACUGGCAAGGGAUUGUUAAGAGUCUCGGAAACUUCUUAAAUACGUUAAAAGCAAAUCAUGUACCUCCUUUUUUAGUCCGCAAGGUGUUCACACAGAUAUUCUCCUUCAUCAAUGUUCAGUUAUUCAACAGCCUUCUAUUACGACGAGAGUGCUGUUCGUUUAGUAAUGGGGAGUAUGUAAAAGCUGGUUUGGCUGAGUUGGAGCAUUGGUGCUAUAAAGCAACAGAUGAGUAUGCAGGUUCAGCUUGGGAUGAACUCAAGCAUAUUAGGCAAGCCAUUGGAUUCCUGGUAAUACAUCAAAAACCCAAAAAGACACUUGAUGAAAUAAGCCAUGACCUGUGCCCAGUCCUCAGUAUACAGCAGCUAUAUCGUAUCAGUACAAUGUACUGGGAUGACAAAUAUGGCACACAUAGCGUGUCCUCGGAUGUAAGUUUCUAUGGAUGCCAUUACUCAACUAGGUUAUAUCCAAUAUGAGAGUGUUGAUGACAGAAGAUUCUAACAAUGCUGUCAGUAAUUCUUUCCUCUUGGAUGACGAUUCCAGCAUUCCAUUUUCAGUUGAUGACUUAUCAAAGUCGAUGGAACAAAUAGACAUUUCCGACAUUGAACCACCGCCACUUAUUCGUGAAAACUCAGGCUUUAGUUUCUUGUUGCCGCGUGCAGAUUGAUAGAAUUAUUAUCAAUAUCUCCCUAUGUUUGCUGUCAAGUAAUAGAUUCAGCUGCUUCUUUCAUGGAUAUUAUGGGGUUGUAUAUUGUUCAUCAUGCUUUACCCCAAAAUUUCUUCUUUGACUACAAUGGAGAUACAUAGUGGGAUGUCGUUUCUCCCCAGCAGUAUAGGUUGAAUAUUCUUCUGUCUUGUGUUGUACAAGUAGCUAAUUUUAGUGAUCGAUCAGGGAAAGAAAUUAAAAACAUAGCUCAUUAUUCUCUUUUUCCAA